UCUUACGGGAGAGCAAAGAAAGUGGUUUCUUGAAAUAGAAUCUGCUCCUGGUGAAGACAUUGUGAA
rnacentral:pre_miRNA from 1 species